UGGGAUACAUGCAGACAGAUCAUUGUA
rnacentral:piRNA from 1 species